CUCACUUAUUUUCUCCCUAGCCCUAUGACCUCUCCCUAACUCCCUCCCUCUCUCUACCCUGUAUUAGGAUUCUACUCCUUGCUCAGCCCAGUCUUUGUGAGUGGGUUAGCCAAGCGUGUCACAGUGAGAACCAGUGAAUGGUAAUGAACUGUGUGUGUGUGUGUGUGUGUGUGGUGGUGAGGGUGUGUGUCUCAGAGAAGGAGGGAGUAUUCAGUGAGUAUGAGGGCAGAGCCAGCAGAGAGAGGGUGAAGAGCGGAUAGAGGAACGAGAGCGGAGAGAGGGAGGAGAGCAGACAAGGCAGUCGAGGGGGAACAAGGCAGUCGGCUGAUUCACCACCCCUCCAUCCAUCCCUUCUUUCUCCUCUUCUGCUUCAGUGGCGGGAUAGUGGAGGUGUGUGUGGGAAAGGAAACCCUCCCUCCACACACAAACAGACCACUGCUCCUAAUCCCUUCCACCUGCUUCCAUCCCUCUCCCUUCUCCCAUUGUCAUUACUACCUCCAGCUCUGUCUCAUUCCUUCUCACCCCAUCCCAUCUAUCUCUCUAUCGCUCUUUCUUUCUCUCCAGCCCCCACGCCCUUCUAACCCACACGCUCUGUGUCACCACCGUGGUGAAGAAAAUGAUCGCCGAACAAGCUGGAAAAGGUAGAGGAGAGGACAGAGAGAGGAGAAGGAGAGGAAGAGUGAACUCUGUCCAUUCAAAACAAUCCAGACUUUCCCGUUUCCCUGAUGGAUUAUCACCGGCCCCGCGGACAGAAGGAGGAGUGGAGGAGAAAAGAAAAAGACCAAUAGAGGAAGAGAGCAUACAAGAAUUGAGCUCUGGACAGCCAGUUCGCCUAAAGGUCUUGUCUGCAGGCUGUGCUUGGGACUCUGGCUAAUUGUGGAGUAUUCUCAGGACUCCAGCAGAGGAGAGAGAGAUGCUUUCUCUUUCUUUUCAUUCUAAUUAAUUGCCCUCUAUGCAAACACUCAAAGAGCCUUUCUCUUUGAGGGCGAUAAUUUCAUAUUCUGUUCAUAUCAGUAUUUUCCAUUUGUUUGUUCCACACAUACUGUACCUGUAGGCUGCCACUCAAAACGAAAAAGAAAAAAACAUACAAAAACUCUCUGACAUCCCUAGGGGGUUUGGGAGUGGGUGUACAGAGAAAUGAGAGAAUGAACGUGAGAGUGAGAGAUAAAACAUAAUAGUGUGGAGUCUACUAGAAAUAAGUAUUUCCCAGAGUGGUGUGAGGGAAGAAAGAAAGGAAAAUACUAUUUUCACCUCAGGUCUAACCAGUGCUGUGGAUAGACAGAGUAAGACAUCGGUCCCUGCUCAUCGGUCCCUGCUCAUCGGUCCCUGCUCAUCGGUCCCUGCUCAUCGGUCCCUGCUCAUCGGUCCCUGCUCAUACAACACCGAGACUGAGAAGAAUGCACAAGACUGAGGAGAGAACGGACGGACAAACACACAGACAAGUCAGCCUCUCCGACCCCAAUCGCAUUCUGGUCCAUCUCUGUUAGGGUACAGCGCCCUACACACACAUACACUUACUCUCACACACACACUCACUCAUACACAAACGUAUGCACACACUCAUACACAGACACAAAAGAACCUUGGCUUUGUCUGGGACCCUUUUCUUUUCAGAAUUAUUUAUUUUCCCUCUCUCUGCCCCCAUCUCUCCAUAUAGACUCUGAGAACACCAUAUCUCCACUACACAGACCUCUACACUUCCUGAUUCUUACAUUGAUUUGGUCUUUCAGUUCCUCCCUUCUACACAUCUCUACUUCUCUUCCUCUCCCUUUACCUCUUUUUCUCACCGUUCUUCUUUCUCUCCUUUUCUCUCUCUGUCUCUCUGUCUCUCUCACACUCCUUUGCUUUCCUGCCCCCCUCGGCACACCUCACUCCCUCUCUCUUCUCCUACCGCUCCCUCACUUGCCCGGUCUCAUUGUCUUCACAAACAGCAGUGUUAGUGUGUGUGUGUACGGGGGAACCAAUCCAUUCUGCAGUGGAGCCACGGAGCACAGGGGAGCCUGAGGUACUACAUGUGUCUCAAGCAAACCAUGCCCCAGUUUACCUUUGCCUGUUUCUGUGGUCUGCACGGCUUCUGCCGGAGACGGACAAAGAAUAAAAAUAAGAAAAGGGAGGAACAAGUGGAGAUGGAGGAGAAACAGAGGGAUCAGGAGACAGAGGUGUGAAGGAAGUCUGGAGGGACCUCCUCUUCAUCUUCUCAGAGACUCUGUUUUGGUCAUAGUUGAAAAGGGGUUGAAACCCCUUCCUGUGUACCUCAGUCUUUGGGAAUGAAGGCAGGACAUUUUCACCAAACACACUCAGUACCACUGAUUUUUACUCAAUUGAACUUAAAACUGUGGUCUGGAAUUUCUUAUACAUUUUUUUUACUCCAUGUAGGCCAGUACACUUACAAAGUCCUGCCAAAUUGAAUUACAGAUUGUGCCUUUUAGAUGGGGAGAUGGAACAGUAUGUAAUGAUGGCAUUCUUCUUUCUACGUCCAGAUCCUUUUCCAUUAUUCACACUGUGGUCCGUCUCUCCACCUGAAGCAGCUGUCCAAUCAGCAGCUUCACUGGACAGUGUAGGUAGAAGUCAAAGGUUAAAACAAAUGUUAUUUACAAUCCCCUCCACCAAGGGGAUGGGCACACACACAUGUAAAUUAAAGAUAUGCAUGGGUCUGUAAAUGCGACUCACUGCCUCGAUUACAGUAGGUAUUAAGUAACAAAAUUAUAUAUAUAUAUUUUUUACAUUAGAUAAAAGUAGAGACUCAGAGGUAGAAAAUUGUAUAUCAUACACUGCAGUUGAGGAACAAUGGGAAAGUAAUGAUAUUUGAAAGUCAAUAAACUUGUAACUGCA